UUGAACUCGGGAGACGGAGGUUGCAGUGAGCCGAGAUCGCGCCAUUGCACUCCAGUCUGCUGACACUACUGACACUAGAUACGCAGCCAGAGGAACUUAGUGAAGGUGAGCUUAUCAGUACAAAGGAGGAGAGAGGUUAUGAUAUAAAGGACAAAGAUGUCCCAGAGUAAGUGACAUUGGCGAAACAUCGCUUCACAUUACAGGGCUUUCAGAAAUACUGCAUGACCAAAGAUGCAAAGGAUUAAAUGUGAGCAUCUGAUCCAGACUUAGAAAGGAGCGUGGAGCGUGACCUCAAGUUUCUCUUCCUCUUCUUAUAAAGCCACCAGUCCCUCUCCCAUGACAGUCCAUUAAUCCAGUAGCCUAUUAACCUGUGCUUGUUUGUUUAGAGAUGGGGUCUUACUCUGUUCUAGCUUUGUUGCCCAGGCUGGUCUCGAACUCCUAGCUUCAAGUGAUCCUCCUGCCUUGCCUCCCAGAGUGCUGGAAGCCAUCCACCAUGUGUCAUCACACCUGGCCUAACCUAUUAAUCUAUGAAUGAAUGAAUUCACUCAUGAAGGUAGAGCCUUCAUGACUCAAUCAUCUCCUAAAAUCCACUACACAUGCUGUUGUUGUUGAGUGCUAAUUGCCUGGGAACAAUAAAAAUA
rnacentral:lncRNA from 10 species